rnacentral:rRNA from 1 species
GACGAACGCUGGCGGCGUGCUUAACACAUGCAAGUCGAACGGAAAGGCCCUGCUUUUGUGGGGUUCUCGAGUGGCGAACGGGUGAGUAACACGGGAGUAACCUGCCCUUGACUGUGGGAUACCUUCGGGAAACUGGGGCUAAUCCCGGAUAGGCGCUCCUGCUGCAUGGUGGGGGUUGGAAAGUUUCGGCGGUUGGGGAUGGACUCGCGGCUUAUCAGCUUGUUGGUGGGGUACUGGCUUACCAAGGCUUUGACGGGUAGCCGGCCUGAGAGGGUGACCGGCCACAUUGGGACUGAGAUACGGCCCAGACUCCUACGGGAGGCAGCAGUGGGGAAUAUUGCACAAUGGGCGGAAGCCUGAUGCAGCAACGCCGCGUGCGGGAUGACGGCCUUCGGGUUGUAAACCGCUUUCGCCUGUGACGAAGCGUGAGUGACGGUAAUGGGUAAAGAAGCACCGGCUAACUACGUG